CCGCGCGCCCGCACGCGGCGCGGCCGCGGCCGCUUCCGCGGUCAGACCCACGAGCCCGAGGCGGAGGCGGCGGUUGGUGCUUCCGAGUAAAAGAAGUUUAAUCUAAAGAUGUUUAUAAAAGGUGUUUAUUAUAAAAUAAGUAGAUGAGAGCUGAUAACUGCCGUGAAGGACGAUGGAUUCUGUGCAGCAUGGAGGAAGUAUCCGGUAGAAGUUACGAGGCAAAUACACACCACGCAAAUGGCAAGUGAAUGUGAAGCUAGAACUCGUGAGCUCUGAGCAGUGAUGUGAACGUAACAGAUAAAUAAACCUUCCGUUUGCUAUUUCAAACUUUUUUUUUUGUAAAUUCAAAAGCAAUACAAAGACAUGUAAGUCAACUGAGAAAUAACUGGAAAAAAAUCUCAGAUGAAUCUUCUGCCCCAUAAAUAGCUCAGUACUUUCCAAGUCACAUGUUGUUUCCUCCGAACUGAACAAUACAAAGACUGCCUCUCAAAAUAAAGAAUCUUUACCAGUUCA